CCCCUGAGAUUUAACUCAGCUCAGACGACGCUGCGCGUGCUGAUACAUGCAAGUCGAGCGACAGAUGGAGCUGCUCCUGAUGUCAGCGCGACGGGUGAGUACACGUGGGUAACCUGCCUGUAAGACUGGAUAACUCCGGGAAACCGGGGCUAAUACCGGAUGCUUGAUUGAACCGCAUGGUUCAAUUAUAAAAAGGUGGCUUUUAGCUACCACUUACAGAUGGACCCGCGGCGCAUUAGCUAGUUGGUGAGGUAACGGCUCACCAAGGCAACGAUGCGUAGCCGACUGAGAGGGUGAUCGGCCACACUGGGACUGAGACACGGCCCAGACUCCUACGGGAGGCAGCAGUAGGGAAUCUUCCGCAAUGGACGAAAGUCUGACGGAGCAACGCCGCGUGAGUGAUGAAGGUUUUCGGAUCGUAAAAACUCUGUUGUUAGGGAAGAACAAGUACCGUUCGAAUAGGGCGGUACCUUGACGGUACCUAACCAGAAAGCCACGGCUAACUACGUGCCAGCAGCCGCGGUAAUACGUAGGUGGCAAGCGUUGUCCGGAAUUAUUGGGCGUAAAGCGCGCGCAGGCGGUUUCUUAAGUCUGAUGUGAAAGCCCCCGGCUCAACCGGGGAGGGUCAUUGGAAACUGGGGAACUUGAGUGCAGAAGAGGAGAGUGGAAUUCCACGUGUAGCGGUGAAAUGCGUAGAGAUGUGGAGGAACACCAGUGGCGAAGGCGACUCUCUGGUCUGUAACUGACGCUGAGGCGCGAAAGCGUGGGGAGCGAACAGGAUUAGAUACCCUGGUAGUCCACGCCGUAAACGAUGAGUGCUAAGUGUUAGAGGGUUUCCGCCCUUUAGUGCUGCAGCAAACGCAUUAAGCACUUCCGCCUGUGAUUUCUGGU
rnacentral:rRNA from 1 species